rnacentral:rRNA from 1 species
GACGAACGCUGGCGGCGUGCUUAACACAUGCAAGUCGAACGGAAAGGCCUGCUUUCCCUUGUGGAUUGCGGGUACUCGAGUGGCGAACGGGUGAGUAACACGUGAGUGAUCUGCCCCCAACUUGGGUAUAAGCCUGGGAAACUGGGUCUAAUUCCCGAUAGGACUGCAGGGUGGUGCCUGUGGUGGAAAACGAUUUUCUAGUGGUUGGGGAUGAGCUCGCGGCCUAUCAGCUUGUUGGUGGGGUAAUGGCCUACCAAGGCGGCGACGGGUAGCCGGCCUGAGAGGGUGGACGGCCACAUUGGGACUGAGAUACGGCCCAGACUCAUACGGGAGGAAGCAGUGGGGAAUAUUGAACAAUGGGCGGAAGCAUGAUGCAGCGAAGCCGCGUGGGGGAUGACGGCCUUCGGGUUGUAAACUCCUUUCGACCGCGAGGAAGCCACCUGGUUGGAAGGGUGGUGACGGUAGUGGUAGAAGAAGCACCGGCUAACUACGUG